CCUCCAUGCUCCCAUUUAGGAGCUGUGUGCUGCUAGGCAAGGUGACUAACCUCUAUGUGCCUCCACUUUCGAGAUGUGUGAUCUUAUGCAAGUUGCCUGGCCUCUCUGUACUGCCAAUAAAGUGCUGUUUGAUUUUAGGCAAAUGACCUGGACUCUCUGGGCUUCCACUUCUGAGCUAUGUGACCUUAAAUAAGUAGUCUGACCUCUGUGUUUCCACAUGUGAGCUGUGUGAUCUUAGAUAGGUUACAUGUCCUCUCUGUUUCCUCUUCUGUUCUGUGUUAUCUUAGGCAAGUUGCCUGACCACUCUAUGCUCCCAUAUCUGAGCUCUGUGAUCGUAGGAAAGUUGCCUAACAUCUCUGCACUUCCAUAUGUGAAUUGUGUGAUUUUAGGCAAUUCCCCUGAUCUGUCUGUGCUUUCACUUUUGAGCUGUGUGACCUUAGAAAUUUUACUAACCUCUAUGUGCUUCCACUUCUGAGCUGUGUGAUCUUAAGUAAGUUGCCUGUCAUCUUUUUGCUUCUCUUUCUGAGCUGUGUGAUCAUAGUCAAGUUGCCUAAGGGCUCUGUGUUUCCACUUCUGAGCUGUGUGCUGUUAGGGAAAAUGCGUAACCACCCUGUGCUUGCACUUGAGAGCUGUGUGUUCUUAGGCUAAUUGCUUGACCUCUCUGUGCUUCCAGCUCUGUUCUACAUCAUCUUCGGAACCUUUCCUGACCUCUCUGUUCUUCAUCUUAACAGCUGUAUGCUGGUAGGCAAGGUGACUGUCUACUCUGUGCUUCCACUUCUGAGAUGUUUGAUCUUAGGCAAGUUGCCUGACCUCUCUGUGUUUAUACCUCUGACCUCUGAUCUUAGUCCAGUUUCCUGACUCUGUGCUUCCACUCUGAGCUGUGGGAUCAUAGACAAGUUUCUUGACCUCUCUGUACUUCCAUAUCUGAGCUGUGUGAUCUUAGCCAAGUUGCCUGACCACUCUGUGCUUCCACAUCUGAGCUGUGUGCUGGUAGGCAAGGUGACUAACCUCUCUGUGCUUCCAUUGCUGAGCUGUGUGAUCUUAGGCAAGUUGCCUGACCUCUGUGUAUUUUGACUUAUGAGCUGUGUGACCUUAGAUAAAUUGUGCUUCCAUAUAUGAGCUGUGUGCUCUUAGGCAAGGUUUUAACCUCUCUGUACUUUCACUUUUGAGCUGUGUGAUCUUAGCCAAGUUGCCUAAUCUCUCUGUGCUUCUACUUCUUAUCUGGGUGAUCAUAGCCAAGUUGCCUGACCUGUGUUCUUCCACCUCUGAACUUUGUGAUCUUAGCAAAGUUGCCUGACUCUCUGUGUUUCCAUGUGAGCCAUGUGAUCUUAGGCAGGUUUUCUAACCACUCUGUCCUACUUAUGAGCUGUGUGAUCUUACCAAGUUUCCUGACCCCUCUCUGCUUUCGCUU
ensembl:lncRNA